AACGUUUCGCACAAACCCGGGGCUUCGACCCCCGGGGAAGGGAUCCGCUUUUUUUGGUUGGUUUCAGGGCGUACUUUCAAGGCGUACGUCUAGCGCCGGAAGGUUCUUUAGGAGUAACUGAGGGCUCAACCCGGGGAAGGAUCCCCUUUGGGGUCGCUUAAAGCGUAGUUUCAGGCGUACCCCCCACGGGUUCCAGGCUCCUUACGUCAAUAAGUUUUUUUUUUCCGCGUCCAAAAAAAAAACAAAACCUUUUCGGUAGGUGACCUUGCAGAAGGGUGUU
rnacentral:rRNA from 1 species